rnacentral:rRNA from 1 species
GAUGAACGCUAGCUACAGGCUUAACACAUGCAAGUCGAGGGGCAGCAUGAAAGUUUGCUUGCAAACUUUUGAUGGCGACCGGCGCACGGGUGAGUAACACGUAUCCAACCUGCCUCAUACUCGGGGAUAGCCUUUCGAAAGAAAGAUUAAUACCCGAUGUCAUAGUCCUACCGCAUGAUGGGAUUAUUAAAGAAUUUCGGUAUGGGAUGGGGAUGCGUUCCAUUAGUUAGUUGGCGGGGUAACGGCCCACCAAGACGACGAUGGAUAGGGGUUCUGAGAGGAAGGUCCCCCACAUUGGGACUGAGACACGGCCCAA